AGGGUUUGAUUAUGGCUCAGGAUGAACGCUGGCGGCGUGCUUAACACAUGCAAGUCGAACGAAGCACCAUGGACAGAAUUUUUCGGAAGGACGACUAUGGCGACUUAGUGGCGGACGGGUGAGUAACGCGUGGGUAACCUGCCCUGUACUGGGGGACAACAGUUGGAAACGACUGCUAAUACCGCAUAAGCGCACAGCAUCGCAUGAUGCAGUGUGAAAAACUCCGGUGGUACAGGAUGGACCCGCGUCUGAUUAGCUAGUUGGUGAGGUAACGGCUUACCAAGGCAACGAUCAGUAGCCGACUUGAGAGAGUGAUCGGCCACAUUGGGACUGAGACACGGCCCAA
rnacentral:rRNA from 1 species